rnacentral:tRNA from 2 species
GGAAGGAUGGCAGAGCGGUUUAAUGCACCGGUCUUGAAAACCGGCGGAGCUAAUAACUCCCGAGAGUUCGAAUCUCUCUCCUUCCG